UGACCUCGGAUCAGGUAGGGAUACCCGCUGAACUUAAGCAUAUCAAUAAGCGGAGGAAAAGAAACCAACAGGGAUUGCCUCAGUAACGGCGAGUGAAGCGGCAAGAGCUCAAAUUUGAAAUCUGGCUCCUUCGGGGUCCGAGUUGUAAUUUGUAGAGGAUGCUUCGGGUGCGGCCCCCGUCUAAGUGCUCUGGAACGGGCCAUCGGAGAGGGUGAAAAUCCCGUCUGGGAUGGGGUGUCCGCGUCCAUGUGAAGCUCCUUCGACGAGUCGAGUUGUUUGGGAAUGCAGCUCUAAAUGGGUGGUAAAUUUCAUCUAAAGCUAAAUACUGGCCGGAGACCGAUAGCGCACAAGUAGAGUGAUCGAAAGAUGAAAAGCACUUUGAAAAGAGAGUUAAACAGCACGUGAAAUUGUUGAAAGGGAAGCGCUUGCGACCAGACUCGCUUCCGGGGUUCAGCCGGCUUUCGGGCCGGUGUACUUCCCCGGGGGCGGGCCAGCGUCGGUUUGGGCGGCCGGUCAAAGGCCCCUGGAAUGUAACGCCUCUCGGGGCGCCUUAUAGUCAGGGGUGUCAUGCGGCCAGCCUGGACCGAGGAACGCGCUUCGGCACGGACGCUGGCAUAAUGGUCGUAAACGACC
rnacentral:rRNA from 1 species